ACGCGGGGAGGUGACCGUUGGGCCCAAACAGGCGGCGUCACCAGCCAAUCAAUAUGCUUCCAGACGUUUCAGCGACCAAUUAGGAAGAACGCCUCCGAUCCAGCCAGCGUCCCAUGCUCGGUGGCCCCAGAAAAGUCAGUGUGUAGGCCUCAGCCACUUCAGGUCCGGCGUACAUUCUCCCUGGACACCAUCCUCAGCUCCUACCUUCUGGGCCAGUGGCCACGAGAUGCUGAUGGGGCCUUCACCUGCUGCACCAAUGACAAGGCCACCCAGGCUGGAAUGCAGUGGUGCGGUCCUGGCUCACUGCAACCUCUGCCUCCCGGGUUCAGGUGAUUCUCGUGCCUCAUCCUCCCAAGUGGCUGGGAUUACAGACACCCCUGUCCUGGCAAGAGCUAGAAGGUGAGCGUGCCAGCUUCUGUGCACACAAGCGCUCAGCAUCCUGGGGCAGCACAGACCACCGAAAAGAGAUUUCCAAGUUGAAGCAACAACUGCAGAGGACGAAGCUGAGCCGCAGUGGGAAAGAGAAGGAGCGAGGUUCCCCACUCCCAGGGGACCAUGCAGUGCGGGGAGCA
rnacentral:sRNA from 1 species